rnacentral:misc_RNA from 1 species
CCAAAUUCUCAAACCACAUUGUUUCGAUGUGGCUUGGAUGUGGGGGGAUUUUGUGCAGGCCCUUUUUCAAGAGUCAGCUCCCCUGAAAUGCAUUAGCGGUAUCUGAGCAGAGAAACUACCACAGGUGUGAUAAAUUUAUCUAUGCCUUGGUGAGCUGCAUGAACAGAUUGUGCUGCUUAUAAAACCAUGUUGAUGAUGAA